rnacentral:sRNA from 1 species
GCGCAAGUGAAAUACCACUACU